rnacentral:hammerhead_ribozyme from 1 species
AUCCAGCAGAUGAAUCCCAAAUAGGACGAAACGCAUGUCUUAGAU